UGGAGUUUUUCAAAGGAGUUUGUUUUGGUUUGGGUUUUGGAAAUUCUAUAUUUAUAUGAUGCCUUUCCCCCUUUGGAUUACAGUUUAAAGUUUUGACUAAGAUGGAUAAUAAAACAAGCGAGGCAGUUCCUAGUAAAUAUCGCCGGUAUUUCCAUACAGAAAAUGUUCAUACCAAAACCUUCACUCCAAGAGAGUACCAGGUGGAGCUUCUUGAUGCAGCUCGUCAAAGAAAUACGAUUGCCUGUUUGGGAACAGGAACAGGAAAAACAUUCAUAGCAGUCAUGUUGAUUAAGGAACUUGCUCAUGAAGUGAGGAAACCAUACGAUGAGGAUGGGAAAAGGACAUUUUUCGUGGUGCCUACAGUGCCAUUAGUGUUACAACAGAAAGAAAGGAUACAAGAUUACACAGACCUUGCUAUUGGUUUCUUUUUUGGUGAUAUGAAAGUGGAUUUGUGGUGUGCAGAAGACUGGAAAAGCAAUUUUCAAAAAUAUAACGUGUUAGUGAUGACUCCAGAUAUUUUGAAAACCAUCUUACUUCACGGCUUUUUGCCACUGUCAAAAAUAAACCUGCUUAUUAUUGACGAAUGUCAUAGAGCAGUAAAAAAUCAUUCUUAUCGAGAAAUCAUGCUGUGUUUUGAUACCUGUCCUCAGAAAAACCAGCCUAGAGUACUUGGUUUGACUGCUUCAAUUUUGAACAACAAGUGUAAACCUAAUCAGUUAGAAAGCAAAAUAAGAAAUUUAGAGCUGACCUUAAGAAGUAAAGCAGAAACAGCAAGUGACCUUACCUACCUGACUAAAUAUGGAAACAAACCAAAAGAGGAUGUUGUAGUUUACAAACCAUUGCAUUUUUCACAAGACAAUGAAAUGCUUGGACUACUGGAAUGUGCCUUGUCCUUUAUUGUUGGUACAAAUAUUAGUGUUAAAAGUGAGUUUGCUGACUUUCCACAUCCUUGUCAUAUGCCUAAACAGUAUUUAAAUGAAAUUUGUAAUGUGAUUAUGAAUCUAGGACCCUGGUGUGGAAAAAAGGCUGCAGAAAUAUAUAUUGCUGAAAUGGAUUGCAAAAUUGAACAGUUAUACUCGGACGACCAUCGUAAUUUCUUAAUAAUGACCAGAACUGUGCUUGAAGUAGUUUCUCGUCAAUGUGAAGAUCUGUGCAUUGGGAGUGAUGGAAAGAAAUUGGAUGUCUUAGAGAAUGCACCUCAUAAGUUGAGAAAACUUUUAGAGAUCUUGUCCAAGUACAGAAUUACUUCAAAGGUAGAUUGUGACAGUGACAGAACUAACAACAUUUCUGGUUUGGAAACUGUUAAAAUGUCAACUGAUGAGCCUGACUACCUUUGUGGAAUUAUUUUUGUUAGACAGCGUAGUACUGCUCAUUUACUUAGCAUGUGGCUGACAGAGGUGAGCAGAUCGUAUCCCGAGUACAGCUUUAUAGUUCCCGAUUUUGUAGCUGGUCAUAACUCAGCAAACACAGAUAAAAUUUGCAAAGACACAUCCAUGGCUGUUUGCCAUCAGGGAGAAAUCCUGAAAAGGUUCAGAGAUCGUGAGUGUAAUCUCCUCGUGGCAACAGCUGUGAUUGAAGAAGGGAUGGAUGUGCCUAAAUGCAACUUGGUUGUGAGAUUUGAUGAGCCCCCAGAUUAUCGUUCGUAUGUGCAGUCAAAAGGUCGUGCAAGAGCACCCAAUUCUUCGUUUAAACUCAUGGUGUCGACUCAACAGAAGAAUAAGUUUUUAGAGACACUUCGUGAUUUUCAUAUUAUUGAACAGCUUGUACUGAGUAAAUGCCAUGGAAGAGAAUGUCCUGAUGAUGAAGAGAUUGAUGAACAGAUUAUCAACAAAAUUAAAGAGCCAUACAUGCCUGUGAAAAAAGAAGGAGCAGCACGUGUAACCUUGAGUUCGGCCAUUUCUCUUGUCAACAGAUAUUGUGCAAAAUUACCGAGUGACACUUUUACUCGGCUAACUCCAGAGUGUCAAAUAGUGGAUGUAAGUGCUGAUGACAAGAGCCCAGGAAACAAGCAGAAUUACUACCAAGCUACAAUUUACCUUCCAAUUAACUCUCCAUUAAAGGAACCGACUAUAGGAGACAAAAUGCAAAGCAAACACUUAGCAAAGAUGGCUGCAGCCUUAGAAACAUGCAGGAGACUCCAUGAAAUUGGAGAACUUGAUGACAACCUUCUUCCUGUUGGCAAGGAGGCCAUAAAAUUUGAUGAACUUCUAGAAGAAGAUGAAGAACAUGUUUCUCCUGGCUCAGCAAGGCCAGGCACAACAAAAAGAAGACAGUUCUAUUAUAAAAAGAUAGCAGAUGUGCUACGGAAGAGCUACCCAGUUCCUGGGGUAAGCUGUAUUCUCUACAGAUUCAGGAUGAAACUGACUUGUCCAAUUCCAGAGCAGCAGAACACCAGAGGACGAAACAUUCCUGACCCUGCAGAUACAAGUCGAGGGUUUGGAAUCUUGACCACUAAAGAGAUACCUUCUAUAUGCAGUUUUCCAGUUUUCACACGAUCAGGAGAAGUUCUUGUAGAACUGGAGUGCAUUAACUCGGAUUUAAAGUUUUCAGAAGAAGAACUGGAUAAUUUAGCUUUCUUCCACAAUUAUACGUUUUCCAAUGUUCUUCGUCUUGACAAGUAUCCCAUGGUGUUUCAACCUAAGGAAGCCGAUGCUUCGUUUUACAUCAUCCCAGUGAACAAAGAAAGUGAUGAAGUUUUUGGUGUGGACUGGGAGUUUGUGGAGAUAAUUAACAAGCAAAAGGGUGUUGUUCCACAUAAGAUAUUGGAAGAAGAAAGAAGAAACUAUAAAUUUAGAACAGAAGACUACAGAGAUGCAGUUGUUAUGCCUUGGUACAGAAACCUGGACAAACCACAGUUCUUCUACGUUGCCGAAAUUUGUCAGGAGUUGACCCCACAGAGUGAUUUCCCCGAUGCUGAAUUUGAAACCUUUGAAAAAUAUUACAACAAGAAGUAUGACAUCAAAAUAAUGAAUCUUGACCAACCGCUACUUGAUGUGGACCAUACUUCUGCUCGGUUGAACUUUCUUACACCUCGGUAUUUAAACAGAAAAGGACAUUCACUUCCUACUAGCAGUGAGCAGACAAAGAAAGCAAAGCGUGAGAAUCUACAGCAGAAGCAGAUAUUGAUUCCGGAGCUAUGUAUAGUACAUCCUUUCCCAGCAUCACUUUGGAGGAAAGCCGUUUGUCUGCCCUGUAUCCUUUAUCGUGUUAAUUCCUUACUGCUUGCUGAACAGCUUAGGGUAAGGGUAGCUAAAGAAAUUGGUGUGGGAUCAUGUAAUUUUCCAGAUGGAUUCAGGUGGCCAACUCUCGAUUUUGGAUGGCUUAUCCCCAAGUCAUCAGAAACUGAGAAAGCUUUAACCCCGGAACGUGGAACUAGGAACGAACAAAUUAAUAAAGGCUCUGAUCAUAUAGAUCCAAAUCUGAUAACCGACUCCUCUGAUGACAGAGUUUCAUCUUCUAAGUUGGAAGAUGGUGAUUUUGUUAUUGAUCACUUUGACCCCAGUCAAGUGCACAUUCCAGAUGAUGAUGAUUUAGCUGAACAAGAAAUGCUAUCCCUCAACAUGGGAAAUGUAAACUUUAUUGGAGACUGGGCCCCUAUAAAACCAUCUGAUGAAGAAAUAACAGAAGAUGGAUCAUACAGAAUUCGUUAUGGUUCCCCCAGCACUUUUGAAGGAUCCGCCUGGGAUGCGGAGUGGGAUACAGAAAUAGAAGAAGGAGAAGUAACUUACCUAAAUAUUCCUGGCUUGGGCAGGAUUUCAGCUCCUGGCAUGUUUAACUUGAAAGGAUUAUCAUGUGAUUUGGAAUCAUGUCGAGAAAACGAACUUUGGGACAGCAUGGAUGAAGACUCUUUGUUUGAUGAAUCUGAAGUAGACAUAUUGGAAGGUAAUGAAAGAAUGGAAGGUUUUUCAUCCUCUGAAAAAGUUUAUUCUGAUUAUACUAAUACUUCUAAGUCUUCAGAUAGUGCUUGGCAGUUACUACAGAACAAGUCAGAUUCCUUGUUUGUAAACUGGGAGAUAGAGGAGGCUCAACCAGAAGAAGAAAUGGAAGAGGAGGAGGAGGAAGAGCUAGAAUCCAAAAAUCAAGAUAUUACUUUCGAACUAAUUGAAAGGAAAGAAGAAUUAUCUGUUCUUGAAGAUCUUGACAUGAACGAAGAAAUCAGUUUGACUGACAAAUUUGGCAAGCUUUACAAAAUGAUAAAUCAAGCUUUGGUGGAAGGAGAUGCUGAAAAAUUUAACAGAAAACCUCCAGAAAAGGAAAUACCAUCAUUAUCCUUCAAGAUCAGCGAAUACAGUAGUCCUAGUGUGACUCAGAAUACCAAUCAAAACCUGCCGUUUGGUGAGUUGUUACCUGAUCGAGAAAAUCGUGCAGUUCAAGAAGCAAACGUAUUCCGUGUCCACUUUGAUGAAGACUUGCAAAAUCAUCCAGGGCCCAGUCCAAGCAUCAUUUUGCAGGGUUUAACCAUGUCAAAUGCAAAUGAUGGGAUUAAUUUGGAACGGUUGGAAACUGUUGGCGAUUCCUUCUUAAAAUAUGCAAUAACUGCAUAUUUAUUCUGUAGGUAUCCAAAUAUUCACGAAGGAAAACUUUCCUUUCUGAGAAGUAAACAAAUUAGCAACCUGAACUUGUACAGAUUGGGAAAACGAAAAGAUUUGGGGGAGUUAAUGAUUGCCACUAAAUUUGAACCCAAUGACAAUUGGUUGUCACCUUGCUAUAGUGUGCCGAAGGGACUAGAAAAAGCAUUAAUCGAUGCAGGCAUGAUGACAGGAAAUCUGAAUAUAGCAACCCUGAAAGAUCUUACUCAGAUGACCGAAGAGCAGAUAUGUGAAAGUGUUCUUGAAAACAAGAAAACUUUUGAGAACACCACAACUGUCCCAUCAGAUGUCGAAGAUUACAUUCCCUACAACUUGCUUACUCAGCAGAGCAUUCCAGACAAGAGUAUUGCUGAUGGAGUAGAAGCACUAAUUGGUGCAUAUCUCGUGUCGUGCGGGCCUCGAGCAGCACUUCUUUUCAUGUCCUGGCUUGGUCUCAGAGUGCUUCCAGAGCUUCCGAAAGAUGAAGAUGAUGUGAGUUCCAUCCCAAAGUAUGGAAUACUGAAACCUCCAGAAUCACCUCUUCUUACUCAUGUUCCAGGGAAGGAUGAGAAAUUGCGAGUAUUGGCAGAUGGUUAUGAUGUGUUUGAAGAAAAGAUUGGAUAUGUCUUUAAAGAUAAGUCUUACCUCUUACAAGCUUUCACCCAUGCCUCAUACCAUUACAAUAAACUUACUGACUGUUACCAGAGGUUAGAGUUUUUGGGAGAUGCCGUUCUUGACUAUCUUAUUACCCGACACUUGUACGAAGAUCAGCAGAAACAUACUCCUGGAACUCUGACGGAUCUUCGAUCUGCCCUAGUGAACAACACUUUCUUUGCUUCUUUAGCAGUGAAGUAUGACUUUCAUAAGUACUUCAAGUCUAUAUCCCAUGGGUUGUUUUCUGUCAUUGCGAAGUUUGUGGAGUUGAAAAAGAAUCGUACAGGAUUUGAAUAUUACAAUGACUAUUAUCUGGAGGAAGAUGAGUGUGAAGAGGCUGAAGAAGUAGAGGUGCCAAAGGCUUUGGGAGACAUCUUUGAGUCUGUUGCUGGAGCUAUUUACCUUGACAGUGAAAUGUCUCUAGAUACAGUUUGGAAGGUUUACUAUGCAAUGAUGAAACCAGAAAUUGAAUAUUUCAGCACUCAUGUUCCUAAGUCACCCAUUAGAGAACUGUUGGAGUUGGAACCCCAAACAGCUAAGUUUCAACGUGCCGAGACGACUCUGAAGGGAAAAGUCCGUGUGCGAGUGGAAGUGUUUGGAAAAGGAAGUUUUGUGGGCGUGGGACGAAACAAACGUAUUGCAAAGUGUACAGCAGCCAAGCGAGCCUUAAGGGAGCUUAAAAAGAUGAAGAAAAUACAAGAAGAAGGGAGAUGACACUUUUCUGUGCAAUAAAUAUCCAAAAUAAUCUCCAGUUAAAUAUACUUUGAAUAGUUGGUAAUUCUUUCCUCACUGAUGAUGUUUUAUUUUAUACAUUUGUUCUACAGGGCAUGCAAAAUCUUCACGAUGUUCCUUAUGCAGUAGUACAGAGCGUACUUAAUUCUGAAGCUGAUAAAUUCAUUUUCUUUAAAGCAGAUAAAACUUAAUAAAUAUUAAUGAAUUUAGGUGUUAUCAUGCUGUUGUAAUUUUUAAAAGUUAUUUUUCUAUAAUAAUAACCACAGUUAGUUAAUUAUGACAGCAGCUCUUUCUCUGUGUCUUCCCAUUUUGGCAUCCUCUUGGAGUUGUAUGUUUAGAUCAUUUGAUUCUAAUGUAAAAAGAGGUUAGUGCAAUUAUUGUUAUAAUUAACCUCAUCUAAAUUAUAUUACAAGAAUUAGAACAAGUUACAAACACAGUUGAGCCAUGACUAGUGAUUAGUGUGCUAGAUGUGAAUUUGAGGGUCCAUGGUUUGUAUCUCAUUGCCACAAAAUUGUGCUUUGCACUAUAGUGGCUCUGGGUAUAUUAUAAGAGUGACAGUCAAAUCUUACUAUUCGUUUAGAUUAGCAUAAAGUAGUCUAUCAGAAUUUAGUCAUCUAAUGGUAGACUCUUAAUCAUUUCUGGAUGUAUUGGGUUAAAAACAUGAUUCAUUAUGUGGACCUAAGUAAAUUAUCUGUAUAUAAACAAACUGAAGAAUUGAUGGGGAAAAAAAGAUGGCAACGUUUAAUCCAAAACCGCCAUGAUGUUCUUUGCACACAGUGUUUAGAAAUUGGUGCUCUAGAUGUGAUGUAGGAAAUUUUUCUCGGAAAAAUUAUAUGUUGAUGCUCAUAAUCAGUUAAUAUUUCGUGAGCUUGAUGAAACUAGAUUUUUUAUUGAUACGUUUUGCUUGUAUGGUUAAUUAAUAUAGUUUCUGUAACUCGGUGACAAAAGGCUACUUUAACUUACCAUUAUGCAUUCAGCUGAAAAAUAUUUAAUCCUAAAAAUUUUAUGCAUUUAUCUCAAAUUUUAUUUUAGCACUACAAGUUUAGCAUAUUUCAAGCUGUCUUGGAAAGUAAAGAAUGAUUUUAAUAUGAAGAUGUUUUGAAGAAGGAAUAAAUUUAUUUAUUAACAACUAAUUAGAAUAUUUAUUUUGACUUUAAACAUUACUGUACACAAGUUUGGUUUUGGAAAGACUUGUUUUUAUUCCAGUUUAAGAUGCUUAUGAUCUGUAAAGUAUUGAUAAACUUAAAACAAGAUAUUUUAUAUACUUAGAGUUGCUCGUAAUGUAGUUUUGUGUUAGGUGUUUAAAAAAAACGAGAAAACAGUAGCCCAUCAGGAUGUAAACACAUGUUGAACUUUCUUAGACCUAACAAGUGUUGUGUGAAAAAAAUGUUUCAUGUUAAACUUUCUUAGACCUAACAAGUGUUGUGUGAAAGGAAUAUUUCAUGUUAAACUUUCUUAGACCUAACAAGUGUUGUGUGAAAGGAAUAUUUCAUGUUAAACUUUCUUAGACCUAACAAGUGUGGUGUGAAAGGAAUAUUUCAUGUUAAACUUUCUUAGACCUAACAAGUGUGGUGUGAAAGGAAUAUUUCAUGUUAAACUUUCUUAGACCUAACAAGUGUGGUGUGAAAGGAAUAUUUAUUAAAGUAGAAUGUGAUACUAUUCAAAGCCAUAGCUUGUUGUGCUCCAACAUGUUUUUUGGUUGAUUAUAAUGUCAUUUCUUACAUAUAUGUGGUGAUGAUUUUUCUUCUCUUCUUCGUGCUAGUGAGUGAUGGUCCAGUGUGAUAGACUUGUUAAAUGUAAUUUUGUUGUGUCUUUACAGCUAUUUGGUGUCACCACUUUUAUUAUACAUAUAUUCUGUGAUUUUGUUUUAUGAUUUUUCAGUAAAUGCCAAAACGUUUGCUUUGAAACAUAAGGCAUAGCUAGCAGAGGUCAUAGAUUAAACAUCUGAACAAAGUUAAGACGGAACAAUUAAAUGUGUUUCUACCAAUUCACACCAUGUGCAGGAGUCGUAGGUUAAACAUCAGGACAAAUUUAAGACGGAACAAUUAAAUGUGCUUUUACCAAUUCACACCAUGUGCAGGAGUCGUAGGUUAAACAUCAGGACAAAGUUAAGACAGAACAAUUAAAUGUGGUUUACCAAUUCGCACCAUGUGCAGGAGUCUUAGAUUAAACAUCAGGACAAAGUUAAGAUAGAACAAUUAAAUGUGUUUUUACCAAUUCACACCAUGUGCAGGAAUCUUAGAUUAAACAUCAGGACAAAGUUAAGACAGAACAAUUAAAUGUGUUUCUACCAAUUCACACCAUGUGCAGGAGUCGUAGGUUAAACAUCAGGACAAAGUUAAGAUAGAACAAUUAAAUGUGUUUUUACCAAAUCGCACCAUGUGCUUGAGUCGUAGGUUAAACAUGAGAACAAAGUUAAGACAAGGGGUUAGAGUUGUUGUUUAAAUCUGUGUAAAUCUUGGUUCAGUGUCAUAACAUAAAUGAUAUGCAUGAUGUACAACGUUUUUUAAAAGAAAUAUAUUUAUUUCCAACGAUUCUUUGUUCUUAAAUUGUUAAUUUUGUCCCAGAGUAAAGCUGAUUAUGUACCUCAACUGUCUAGAUAAAAGAAAAAAAUAUUUGUCAGUUCAGUAGAAUCAACAUUACAUGCCUGGUUUGAGUGAUUUGAAAUUAUGAGUUGUGAUUACCAUAGCAACAUAGUAAUAAAUAGCCACAAUCUGGUUACCAUAACAACAGAGUAAGAAAUGCCCACAAACGAAAACGAUACUGAAUAAAACUCAAAAAUUUGAACGAAUAAUUAUUUAUGUGUUAAUUAUUUUAAGUUGAUGCCUUUAUGUAACUAUUAUGUGAAGCCCACUUUUCUCAUCAGUAAUCGGGUAUGUUUAUUAAAGGGUAGUAUGUAAAUUGUGUAAGUUUCUCUAGCCUCAAAUCGAACAGUUGUGUUAUGUAUGUUCUAUCUUAAGUACCACAAGUUAAGUGUAAAUUGUGUAAGUUUCUCUAGCCUCAAAUCAAACAGUUGUGUUAUGUAUGUUCUAUCUCAAGUACCACAAGUGUAAAUUGUGUAAGUUUCUCUAGCCCCAAAUCAAACAGUUGUGUUAUGUAUGUUCUAUCUUAAGUACCACAAGUUAAGUGUAAAUUGUGUAAGUUUCUCUAACCUCAAAUCGAACAGUUGUGUUAUGUAUGUUCUAUCUUAAGCACCACAAGUUAAGUGUAAAUUGUGUAAGUUUCUCUAGCCUCAAAUCGAACAGUUGUGUUAUGUAUGUUCUAUCUUGAGUACCACAAGUGUAAAUAUGUAUUGUUUAAGCCGGCGAGAUAGAACUGUUUAGAACGUGUGUGAUUGACGAACCUUCUUCUUAGGUUAGAGAAGUCACGUGAGGCUGCUUAGCUUCUAAUAGUAAGCCAGCAGUCACAGUUUGGUGACUUCCUGGCCCGUUGUGAGGUUCUUGGGGGGGGGGGCUUGGAUGUACUUGACCUCUAUAAUCACACCUGUGGUUUUAGUACUGAGGGCAUCUGGUGUACGGUUCUUUAAGUUUCGGAAAUGAAAAGGAAUAGCGGGCACUGUCGAAAGGACAGUGUUAAUAUUCUCAGAUUAAACCCUGACAAGAUCUCAAUUUAUUUUUGGUAUGUUGUAUGAGUUUCUAUACCUUUUAUGGGUUUUACUUGUUUAUUUACCUCUGAUUAGAAACAUUUAUAUGUAAACCCCAAGUUUUAAGAAUACUAUGGACUACUUCACUCCAAAGAUAAGAAAGUCAUGUAAUUCUGUGAGACAUGCAGGGUUCGAAAUUUACCACACAACGCUUGCAUUUCACAAGUAGAAUACUACCCGACACAAGAACCCCCUACGGUUCCACAGAAACUA
rnacentral:misc_RNA from 1 species